AUGCACUGUAGAACUAUUUUGCUAGGGAGAUUUUCAGGGACAGCCCAAGUAUAAAAACAAGAAGCCUUUGUAUUUGAAGGUAGCAUGGUCCUUCCUUGUAUUCUUCAGACUGUAAAUUCCUGCAUUCUUUUAGUUAUGUUUUUUUUUUUUUAAGUUUGUUUUUGAGCCAGGACUGUCUUGGAACUUGAGACCAGGCUUGCUUCACACUUCAAACUCACAGAGCUAUGUCCACCUCUCUUCUAGAAUAUGCUCCAAGUGACUUAAGGGUACCCCAAAGGGCUUCACCCACCUUCUCAAAACCCAUAACUUCUUCUGUUCUAAGAUCACCACCCAGGUGCCCCGAGCCUUUAACACAUGACCUUUGGGGGUCACAUAUGACCUUCGAGGGUUAGUUGUCCAGACCGUACUAUAUACUGUACUUUUAAAUCACGCUUAAAUUGUUUCUACUUCUCAGGAUCAUUCUGACCAGUGAGCUUUAACUUCUAUAGAGUUGCUUUACGGUACCUUUUAAAAAUGUAAUUUGAAUUUGAUUCAUUAUUUCAAGCUAUGUUUCCUGUUUGUAGAUUCUUUAGAUUGUUCAAGAUUUUCCUUAUAGCCUGUGUAAUUAGUUCCAUGAGUAAUUCAUGCGGGGGUGGGGGGGGGUGGGGAGAAUACAUAUACAUGUAAAAAAAAAAAGUUGUCAGCUCCAGAUUUAAAAGUUACUCAUUUCUCCUCCUCUGCAACACCUUUUUUGUUUGUAGCUGGUGUUUUAUUGAGACUUUCGUUGCUGGGAUUAAAUAACUGAGCAAGACAUCCUGAGGAUGGAAAGCUUUGUUUCAGCCCAGGGUUCACAUGGGAUCCAGCUCAAGGGCAGGUCCCAAGGCCUGACACUAUUACUAAGGCUAUGGAACGCUCACAAAUGGGACCUAGCAUGACCGUACUCCGAAAGACCCAACAAGCAGCUGAAAGAGUCAGAUGCAGAUAUUUGCACCCAACCAAUGGACAGAAGCUGCUGACCCCUGUUGUUGAAUUAGGGAAAGGCUGAAAGAAGCUGAGGAGAAGGGUGAUCCUGUAGGAGGACCAGCAGUCUCAAUUAAUCUGGACCCCCAAGAUCUCUCAAACACUGGACCACUAAAGAGACAGCAUGCACCAGCUGAUAUGAGGCCCCCAACACACAUACAGUAGAGGACUGCUGGGUCUGUGUUCAUUCAGAAAUGAUGCACCUAACCCUCAAAAGACUGGAGGCCCCAGGGAGUUUAGAGGUCAGGUUGGGUGGAUGGUGGGAACAUCCAUGUGGAGACAGAGGUGUGGGGAGGAGGUAUGGGAUAUGGAACAGUCUCAGAGAGUGGAUGGGAGAUGGGGGAGGGGAAUAAAAUAUGGUGUGUAAGAAAAUACAUU
rnacentral:lncRNA from 1 species